UGGUGGAGUGAUUUGUCUGGUUAAUUCCGUUAACGAACGAGACCUCGACCUGCUAAAUAGUACCAGGAAGUUGAUUUUCAGCUUCUUCGGUGACUUCUUAGAGGGACUGUUGGUAACAUAGCCAAAGGAAGUUCGAGGCAAAAACA
rnacentral:rRNA from 1 species